rnacentral:ncRNA from 1 species
AGGUAUGAGCUGCAACGAAGUGCUUCGCGCACGGGCUGAAUUGGAC